AGUGAACGCUGGCGGUAGGCCUAACACAUGCAAGUCGAACGGCAGCACAGUAAGAGCUUGCUCUUACGGGUGGCGAGUGGCGGACGGGUGAGGAAUACAUCGGAAUCUACUUUUUCGUGGGGGAUAACGUAGGGAAACUUACGCUAAUACCGCAUACGACCUACGGGUGAAAGCAGGGGAUCUUCGGACCUUGCGCGAUUGAAUGAGCCGAUGUCGGAUUAGCUAGUUGGCGGGGUAAAGGCCCACCAAGGCGACGAUCCGUAGCUGGUCUGAGAGGAUGAUCAGACACACUGGAACUGAGACACGGUCCAGACUCCUACGGGAGGCAGCAGUGGGGAAUAUUGGACAAUGGGCGCAAGCCUGAUCCAGCCAUACCGCGUGGGUGAAGAAGGCCUUCGGGUUGUAAAGCCCUUUUGUUGGGAAAGAAAAGCAGCAGGUUAAUACCCCGCUGUUCUGACGGUACCCAAAGAAUAAGCACCGGAUAACUUCG
rnacentral:rRNA from 1 species